GUAACCUUCUAGAAUCCCAGCAUCUUUAGGCAGGUAGACAGGUUAGCCUAGUUUAUGACUCUCACGUGCAGUAUGGUCAGUAGGGAAGCAAAUUGUCCUGUUUGUGGCACCCAGGGCCAUUCUGGUUUUAGUGUUGACAGUCCAGCAUCCUAGGAAAAUCUUCGUCUCAGGAAAACCAGGGCAACUGGUCACCCUAGCAAUCAGCCAAAGUGAAAUAAAGAAUGUCUACAAGCUGAGGUCGACCACAGCUUGAAAAUAUUCACAGAAGUCCUGGAGCCUGCUUUCUUCCAGCCGACUGACUACUUAGUGAAGCAUUCCUUGCUUAGCUGCUUCAAUCUUCCCUCUUUUCAUCAUUUUAGCUGAUCUCUUCUGAACCUCUGCCAAUUUAUCUGCAUCUUCUUGAUACCAUGGCACUCUGGAUUGAACACCAAGCGCAUUUAUGUAGGCUUUCACCUCCUCGUCUCAUUAUAUGCCCCAGGCAGCAAAUGCAGCAAAACCAUGGAAUGUUCCAUGUACUCCAGAAAUUAGAAGUUCCUUCAAUGCAUGAGGUCGUGAACUCUGGCACAAAUGUAGGCGUGUCUUUGGGUCUCCUUCCUAGCACCAGUGACAUAGCAGGAAUCUAUCAAAAUUUAUAAAAUAAAUUUUGGCACGCUAUAAAAUAAUUAUUAGCA
rnacentral:lncRNA from 1 species